CACGGUGGCAUGGUAAACGUUGUGACCACGCUGUGAUAAUGCAUGGAUUCCAUCAGUUUAUUUUAUUCGUCAAUUGAUCAUGGUUGUGAUCUAUUUUGUUUAGAUACUCUAUGAUUUGAAUUUCCCCUCUUUUUUCGUUAUAUUUCUCCCUUAACUAUAUGAUUGUGAUGAAACUUUAUUGUUGUGGAAUUUCUCAUAUAUGUUAUAAGAUAGCUAUUUACCACUUUGAGGUCUGAAAUAAAACAUAAUGACACUCUUAGGCUCACUUUGAGGUCUGAAAUAAAACAUAAUAGCACUCUUACAUGAUUACCACAUAGCUAUUCACCACUUUGAGGUCUGCAGGUCUCAGGCUCACUUUGAGAGGCUAGCAGAUUUGCUUACUUCAGAUAUUUUGAAGCCUUAUACCAAGCCACCAAGGAGCAGGGUUGCAUCGGUAUUACUGCCAAUGAUGAUCCAUAUAAUUCUAAUGAAAUGAGCCCAAGUGACCAAAGACAAAACCAUGUUUCAACAUCGAGAAAAAAGCCUAUUUCCCUCCCAAAAAGUGAAGAAGCAAAAACUGGUAAACCUACAUAAAAUCUUUGUAGAAAUAAAUUUGAUACUGGAAUGUUAUUAUUUAUCCAUAUGAGUUAAGUCUGUCAAGAUAGUUAUUAUGUAUUCUCCAGUUUUCCCUCUUAUUGGUUGAUGCUUGACAUAUUUCCUGUUCUCACACAUUUUAUCACAUUUUUUCCACGCACAAAAUUUUCUUUUUUAAGAGACUGAGAGACAAUGACGAUGAUAUGAUAUCAACACUAGAGAAAGUUUGACAUGUGCAGAUCAUAAAUGCAUGUGCUAUGUUUAAGGUCUCUUUAGUGCUCUUUGUUAUCCUACAUCUAUUGUAGUUCUGUAAAUGAGUGAACCUUACCUACAUGUCUCAACUUGUAUUGUCCCUCUGUUUGUAUGUGGAGGGAUUUCUGAAUGUG
rnacentral:lncRNA from 1 species